UGUAGCCUGGCUGCACCUCUCUCAGACCUCAUUUAAGGGCUGACUGCCCCUGGGGAAGGAUCACUUUCUGGAGAUCUCUUCUUGGUGGAGCUUUCCCUUGCAAAUUUCUGGAACCUUCUGGUAUGGGUGGACACCUCAGCCAUCCUACCUCUAACUCCUUCAGGACAUGAUGGCUGCUGCUCUCUGUGUUCUCCUGGUCAGUCGUGAAGAGAGUGAUUUCAUUCUGUGCAAACAGAAGCACAUGGAGGGGACACUGGCUACCUGUCCAACAGAAGUGCACAGCAGAGCCCAGGGAACAUCCCCAUGCCCUGGCAGCAGGGGCACCCCAGCUGACCCCCUUGGGGACCACUCCUCAACAGGCAGCAUUUCUUCUUCUAGCCAGCUCUGCACAGAGCUGAGGCAGCUCUUAAAGUCUCCUGGGGCUCCUUCUUGUGCAAUGCUUUUGCUGGAAACACGGUGGCAGCAUUGGGACACUUUUAGCUUCGAACCAAGCGCCUUUCUGCAUCUGGGAACUGUAUUUUUGGCCGCCCUUUGCUUUCAUCUAAGAUGGGCUGUAAGCCAGGCCCUGGUGUAGGCAACAAUGCUGGGCACGUGGAGGAGGAAAAAACAACCCCAACCUGUUGUGUUUUCUGCAGAAGGUAUGGAAAGCCUGGGAGCAGGGCUGCAACAGACCUGGACGUUCUUGAUCUUCUGCUGCAGCUUCUCCAUCUCACUGUUCAGCUCUGAGGCAUAGCUGAAAUAGGCAAAGUUCUUCCCCUCCUUUUCAAUGAAGCCAUUCACAAGCUGGUCUAUGUUUCUGUUCUCUGCCAGCUCCAGCAGUCGCCUGUAAGUCACCUCCCGGCUCUCAAAGCUCUCCCCUUGACUCCGCUUCAGCCUUUCAGCUGCCUUCAAGGCUAAAGGGGAAGACAGAGAGGUAUGACUGAGCCACGUGCAUCUCUGCUGGCAGAGCCUCUGCCCAUGGAUGGGGAGAUGGGGAGCUUGGAUCAGAACAAGUUCAGUACUGCCUAGAGAUCAGGCAAGGAGGCCACAGUCUGCAUGGGAAUGGGCAAACACAGCAGGACUUAAGGAGCCAUAGGUGCACAUAGGAAACACUUCCCUGCUUUCCCCUUCCCUCCUUCUGCACCAAGGCCACUCCAAGAUAAAGUGUUCCUAGCCCCAGACUGUGCCUUUGGGCUGCAGUGCUCCACACUGCUGCAAGCAGCCUCCUUGCUGACUCUGCAGACUCCUGUUUUGCAGUCACUGCUGCCGGUGAUUUCUUGUAUGUGAUACCUUCCUUUUUUAUGGCUUGUUCCUCCAUUUCAGAGCGAUCAGUAUAUUUGGUAAGCACAAAGAUUUUCAGCUUGUUCUCCUGGUCACGGAUUCGUUCCCGCUCCUGCAUCUCAAUGUUAAACUGGGCAGUGUUUUGUUUGCGCCUUUCAUUCAUGGCUGAAAUCCUUGCUAGAUACUCUGUCCUGCACACAGAGAGUUGCAUCACGCAGAGGUGGAAAGAAGUGCUGGUAGAAGGACUUGUAUUCUUGUAGCCAGGCUAUAAAGGACCAGAGCUGACCUCUGCUCCAAGUUCUUAUGUAUGAUCAGGUGGGACUCAGAGCAGAGACAGCUCCAUGGGGUGAAUUGCCCCAUCCUGAGUAAUAAAUAUCUGGGAUAGGUGGAAUAAGUGACACCCUGGAAGUACCAGCCUCUUCGGGGACCAGGCAUCCAACCCUUAGAUAGCACCCAGCCCUAGGUGGAAGCAGUGAAUCCUCUAUUGGUUUCUCUUAUACAUUGACAGCAAUCACUGAAAUUGCCCUCAGUGCUGAACUGCUGAAGACUCAGGGAGCCACGUACCGCUGUUUUUGUGCCUGUGUGGUCUGCUGUAUGGCAGUGUCCAUCCUCUUUUUCUGCUGGGCCAGGUGCUUAUAGAGCUUUGAGUAGAAGUUGUCCAAAAUGGCUUUCUGAAAUCGAAGGUUUUCAAUCUCUUCUUGGAGCUUAUUAUUGUUGGUCAGGGUGGUAUCAAAACGCACAGUGGCCUGGGGAGAGGGAAGAAAAAGUGCUCUGAAUGGUACAUAAUCCCUGCUGAAAGACAUUGACCAGGGCCAGGACAAACAGAGAAAGAGAUGGCAUAUAGAACCUGCCCUGUUCUCAUUGCAAAUCAUGUGUGGUGCCAGUGAGCCAGGCUGAUCAUAACAGCAAUCUGAUGUUGGCAUUGUCUAAGGUAAAGUGGCUCUGGGCAGCUCAGUUUUAUCACUAAACAGGUGCAGACCUUCAGGCUUCUUGGCACAGAACAAGUGCUGCAUUUGGGUCACCAAGCUUGAAGGAGCUUUUGAAGUACUCUGGGAGCAGUGAGGCCAGGGGACAAGCUGAGUCCUUUGUGCAGCUUGCAAGAACCAAAUGCACUGCACUGUUGCCCUUAGUACUAAUCAAAAAGCAUUUUGUACUGGCUGCAGUUUGGCCCCAAAAACUCUGUGCAACGUUUGCUUACAUUGUUCAGAUGCAACUCCAGUUUCUCAGUCUGCUUUUGCAGCCAUUUACCGCAGUUUGCUUGCCUCACUUUCUUUGUUAUCACUUCUUCCCUCUCAACCUUCUUUUGUAGCUGUAGGAUCUGCACAGAGAGAAUUAAAUAUAUAUAAUCUCCACCCCUACAUUCUGGACUUCUGUCAGAACAUAGCUGCCAGUCUGCUCUGCUAUACCAUGCUGAGCCAGGGAGUUGUUCAGAUGCUCUCACCUCAUUGUCCAGCUCAGACAGCAGGGUUUUUCUGUCUCUAAUCAGACAAUUAUACUGAUCCUUGGUGUGCAGAAGGUAUUUCAGCUCCAUGCAGAUUCUGUGAUCUUGAAUCAUAUUUCUCAAGGACCCGACCCUGCCCAGCGUUAAUGCUACGUCUUUAUGUUCUUCCUUCAGUGACUGGAUUUCUUUUCUGCAGAGGUAGGAUGACAAAUGACAUGAAGCUCAUCCCUCCUGCAGGGCUGGGGUAGGUCCUUGUCCCACCCCACUGCUGAGGUCCUCAAGAGGUUUUGGCAUGGAGAGACUUUCCAAGCCCGUGGAGCCCAGUGAAGCUGUACUUACUCCUGAGUUUUCAUUUGUUGCCUCAAGUUGGCACCAGAAGAUUUUCUCCUAUCCACAGCAAUCUGGAGCUGUUUCUGCAGCCUGUAGAACUCCAUCUGAGCCUGUCUUUCUGUCACAGGGAAGUCUGAGAUUGUGUGCAGCGAACUGGACUCUCUCAGCUGCUGCGGAAAGGACUUUGAUUCUAUCCUGAGAUCCCCAGAGGAAGGAGCGGAAGAUAAUGUUGGAGGUUGCAGCAUAAUGCUGGGUCCUGCAGUCCUGGAAUAGCUCACUCAGCUCUGGGAUGAGGAUGAGCAAAGGCCAUCUGCAUCACGCUUUGCACAGCUGCAUCCAUGUGGAUAGUUCAAGGCAACAAGCAAAAUCCCCAAGUGGCUCAUGACUCUUGAGACUGUGCCUCCCUAUUGCCCUGGAGACUUUGAGCUAAAAACCACAGAAUUCCUGGCUACUUCCAGAUAGGAUCUGUGGAUGCAUUUAAUUGGAAAUGACUUCCAUGGAAGAGAGCAGCUUGUGGCUGGUUUCCCUAGGCUCAGACUAGUCCAGCCUCAAAACACACCCCAUAUCAUCCAUCUUUGUGCUCGCCCUGCAUGGACCAAUUGUUCAGCUGUGAACAAGUGAGUACAUUAAAUUAUUGAGGAGGAAUCUGAUUUGGUAGAGUCUGUGUCUGUCACACUCAUUGUAGAAGCAUUUAUUUUACUAAAGGGAACUGUUUUCACCCAAACAAUGCUCUGCUGUCAGACCGCUUUGAAUGAGUGUGGCUUCAUUGUUUGAUGGACCUUUGGCUGGGGCUGAGCAGAAUGGCAAUCAGAGCAGGAUGGGAUCAUCUCUAACAAAUGAAUCCAAUAAUCUUCUAGAAGAAAUAGGGGAAAAAAAGUAAGUUUUGGUGCAAUCUUCACUUAAACCCGCCUUCCCUGACUCAGUAGACACAUUUAGCACUGACUGACAUGGAGAAAUUAUUUCUUCAGCUGAAGAUUUGGGGUCUAAUUAAAACUGCUUGAACUAUUCUAAGGGCUGUAUUCUGAGCUGUGCAGCCAGUGUAAAUCCUCCCCAA